rnacentral:rRNA from 1 species
ACUCCUACGGGAGGCAGCAGUGGGGAAUCUUCGGCAAUGGGCGCAAGCCUGACCGAGCCAUGCCGCGUGAGUGACGAAGGCCUUAGGGUUGUAAACUCUUUCGGCGGGGACGAUAAUGACGGUACCCGCAAAGAAGCCCCGGCUAACUCCGUGCCAGCAGCCGCGGUAAUACGGAGGGGGCUAGCGUUGUUCGGAAUCACUGGGCGUAAGCGCACGUAGGCGGACUGGUCAGUUGGGGUGAAAGCCCGGGCUCAACCUCGGAACUGCCUCCAAAACUUCCAGUCUAGAGUCCGGAAGAGGUAAGUGGAAUUCCUAGUGUAGAGGUGAAAUUCGUAGAUAUUAGGAAGAACACCAGUGGCGAAGGCGGCUUACUGGUCCGGUACUGACGCUGAGGUGCGAAGCGUGGGGAGCAAACAGGAUUAGAUACCCUGGUAGGUCAGUC